rnacentral:rRNA from 1 species
UAAAGCGUGCGCAGGCGGUUUUGUAAGACUGUCGUGAAAUCCCCGGGCUCAACCUGGGAAUGGCGAUGGUGACUGCAAGGCUAGAGUUUGGCAGAGGGGGGUAGAAUUCCACGUGUAGCAGUGAAAUGCGUAGAUAUGUGGAGGAACACCGAUGGCGAAGGCAGCCCCCUGGGUCAAAACUGACGCUCAUGCACGAAAGCGUGGGGAGCAAACAGGAUUAGAUACCCUGU